AUUGAACGCUGGCGGCAUGCCUUACACAUGCAAGUCGAACGGCAGCGGGGGAGAAGCUUGCUUUUCCUGCCGGCGAGUGGCGAACGGGUGAGUAAUACAUCGGAACGUGCCCUGUAGUGGGGGAUAACUAGUCGAAAGAUUAGCUAAUACCGCAUACGACCUGAGGGUGAAAGUGGGAGACCGCAAGGCCUCAUGCUAUAGGAGCGGCCGAUGUCUGAUUGGCUAGUUGGUGGGGUAAAGGCCUACCAAGGCGACGAUCAGUAGCUGGGCUGAGAGGAAAACCAGCCACACUGGGACUGAGACACGGCACAGACUACUACGGGAGACAGCAGUGGAGAAUUUUGGACAAUGGACGAAAGCCUGAUCCAGCAAUGCCGGGUGUGUGAAGAAGGCCUUCGGGUUGUAAAGCACUUUUGUCCGGAAAGAAAUGGCUCUGGUUAAUACCUGGGGUCGAUGACGGUACCGGAAGAAUAAGGACCGGCUAACUACGUGCCAGCCGCCGCGGUAA
rnacentral:rRNA from 1 species